rnacentral:misc_RNA from 1 species
CAAUUUAUAAAAGUUAGUAGGCUAUCAAGUAGUAAUUUUCAACAACCUAAUACAUGCCUCAAAAUAUAACGACCACUUGGCUAAAAUAGAUUCAGAUUGUCAAUAUGGGAAUAAGAGAUCUCACCAUAAAAGCUUAGCAUGGAAAGUGGUGAGAGUUUGUACCUGAGAUACAAAGUUGUGAAUCAAUAUCAAUAUCAAUAUCAAAUCUCAUAUAGAAUUAAGGCUAAACAGCAAUUUUUAACCAAAACCUUUGAACUCAUUCAACACACAACAAUAGCAUCCUUAACAGCAAAGUGGAGCAGAAGAAAGCAUAGAAGACAAAAUCUCACUGAAGAGCAGAGAAAACCAGUGUAUAAUCAGUCACCUCAUCAAAUAGUGACUUCAAAUAUUGUUCAAGUAGUUCUUUAACAAUAGACAAGGCCAUUUUCUGAUAUGAAACAGUAACAGAACCAAAGGCAACUGGAAUUGGAAGAAAAUUUUAAGCGACAGGGAGAAGUGAAUAACUUUGCAUGAGACAUACACACUUUGGUGAGAGAUGUAAAGACAAAAAUGGAUUGUAGAUCACGAGUUUAGCAUGAUACCCUACAGAUUUAGCACCUAAAUUUUGCAAAUUAACAUUUAUGCCACUGCCAAUGACACGUUGAAGAACAAAUAAUUCUUUUCCUCCUUCCAAUCAUGAGUUAUAAUAUCAAAUAAAUAUUUAGAUGGAUCUAGUUAGCAACAAAAAUAGAGAAACAUGCAUGCCAUUCCAAUCAAAGGGUGAUAAAGAAAACACUUGAUCAACAUACAUCAUUAAAUCUGCUUAAAGCAGUUGUUGAAACAACAAGAGCACUGUUUUCAAAAAUCUUCCUCCAGAAAAUUAGUACACAUGAUAUAACCCACUCAGAAUGAAUAACAUCAGACAAGUAGUUUCUUUUGUGAUAAGAAAUAAUAAAGCAAAUAUUAUUGAUACAGGAAUAGCUUUCCUGAUGGAAGGCUAUGGAACAGUUAGCAGAAACAAAGCACAAGGUCAGCCAAAUUGCAUCUAAAGGCAUUGCAAUUAUGUCAAAGAUUUUAAAUUGCAACAUCUUCUAGACCAUAGAAAAUUUGUGAAAAUUUACUCUCUGUCAAGCAAUGAAACAAAUAAUAGAAAUAGAUUUAUCCCAUUUUAUGAUUUUAAAAUUGAAUGUGAAAAGGAACAAUUUUGGCAGGGAAAGGCACUUCCACUUGUCCUAUAUCCUAUCAUGUAGGCCCCAUUUCGUUCCUGCAUGACACAAUGAGGGAAUAUUGUAGGCCCCUUAAUUCAACUUUUGUGAAAUUCAUAUGGUAAAGCGGGCCACUGCAACAUGGCAAUACCCAGAACUAUUUAAACUGUCAAGCGGGUCCCAUAUGCUAAUUUGAAAACACCAUUUUCCAUGUGGAGCUGGAUGUAUUUACCAGAUAUGAGAGCAUUACAAACAUUGCCAAUAAUGAAACUUCAUUUUGAGAAUUAUCUUUAGAUACAAUGACCUCCCAAACAAUUCAGAAUAUGGUGCAACUAGAUAUUCAUAUAAAAGAGAUAUGACUCAAAAAGCAACUAGUUAACGUGCUAUGUUUGGACUGCUAACCUUUGUAAAUGAAUUGAUUCCCUGCCAAUUAAGGAAGAGAUUCAGGUUAGCCCAUGGAAGGAGGGAAGAAAAAGGAAAAUCCCUUGUGGCAUAAUUAAGCCACUAGAUGCUGUAAUCCUGUAUUGCUAUUUCUUAUCAAGAAGGAUUAUAUAACAUUUUCUUAACAAGAGCCUUUAUUAAUCACAUCAGCAAGAAGCUAACCUUCAAAUGUGAUGAUGGAUAUCAAAUUACACUCAAAUGAUUACGUGCUGAACAAAUCGGUGCCCUAACAAAAAAAGAAACUGAAAAAAUUAAAAUAUAUAUAUAUUGCAAAUGUAAAAUGAUGAUGCGUGGAGCAGAAACAACACUAAUGUUUAAGGAAAAAAUGGCUUGUAAUAUCCUCAAGUAAUUUAAUGAUAAUGUAUUCGUAGUUUAUUGUUAUGUGGACUACAAUAAAUUCUAAUAAUUAAGACGAGAGGCAAAAUUUUUUUAAGUUUCAGGAAUUAACAAUCACAAAGAGAUAUCAAAAUUUAGGAGUUACAAAAAGUAAUCAAUUGCUUCUGCCAAAACUGUGAUAGUGCGUCCGUGAUAGUCCAUGUUGGUGCAGGUUUGUGUCAAUUAAUACAAAUAUUUGUUCAUAUAGGAAGACCAAUAAUGACAAUCAAAACAAUAUCCCAGUGAAAGAAUCUCAGAAAAACCAAAGGAAUUGCCAAUGAUCAUGAUGAAACCAAAAGAGUGUAUCCAGUUGCCUCUAAUUCAAGAAGACAUGUAGUAGAAAUGGCAAUAAAUCCAUUAUGUAAAAAUUUUUUGAUAAGAAAUAUCAACAAAUUGAGAGGUCUGAUCCAGAUUUUUGUAAUAGGUAGACAAGGUAAAUCUAAAUAUGAACUGGACAUUGCCAAGCAUUUCCAGAUGUUCCCUGUUUAUCAAAACCAUGUUUACCAACCACUUGGCAUAAAUAAGCUCCAUCAACAUGAGCUCCAUAACUGGCAACUUGCCAGAAUCUAGGACCAGGGAUGCAGUCAUGUUUACGUGUGUUAAAUUUACAAACCAGACAUGCAUCAAUGCUGCAAUUCAUUUAAGCAGGUGAAUAAAUGUUAAAGGGUAAUGGACAUGAAAUUGAGUUCAACAACAAAAAGAAAGCAUGAUUGUUCUUCUCUGUAAUUAAUAAUCACUAAAUUAAGAAUUUAAGAUAUCAUAUCCUGACAAGCUUUUACAUUUUAUGAUGUGAGCACAUGAAGCCACUAGCCAUUUGAAAGUACCCAACUCUACUCGAUCACCAAGGAAGCUGAAAAUAUAGAAUUGAGUGGAAAUAUAUAUAGGCGCUAAAAGAACUCUAGAACUGAUAUGUCUACACAACAAAACUGCCAUUUGCUGAAUUGUAUGCAUUUGACAGUGAUAAUCAAUAAACUACUCCUAUUUAAUCCACAAUGAUUCAUUUCCAAAACGGUUCACUUUCAGAAGCCACUGAAUUCCAAUGACUAGUCAUCAGCGAUGCCCAAUAUGAAAGUACGUUUCCACUAAAAACAAAUCUUACUAUUUGUGGGUAAUGUAUGCCCCCAAUAUUCAUCAAAUGAGCCAGUGCGUGAUCAACGAGUGUUAAACUCAGAAACGAAACAAAGUAAUUGCAAGCAAAUAUCAUAUUGCAACUAAUGAAAGAACACAUCUAUAGCUACGCUUAAAUCAUCCACUCUUUUGGGAUCAAUAUGAAAACUUGAAUUUAUAUUGUAAAAAAUCCUCAAAAGGGUUUUUCCCAAUGAGCAUUGUACAAACUUUUGGAACCAAACACCAAUAAAUGUAGAGCCUACACACAAUCUCCGUCUUCCUAUAUAAUUUUUGUGAGUUUUAUCAGGAACCCAAAACUUAGCAUAAUAUAACCAGUAAAGUUAAUUUCUGGAAACCCAGGUAAUGAUUUUUAGAGAAGAACACAAAUCAAAAAGAGAAGGAAAGUGGAGGAAGUAGAACCUCUAUGAACUGGUGAGAGAAACAAGAAGCUGUUUGCGAUUGAGCAACGCCAUUUCGGUGUCUAUCACAGCCAUGGAAACCAUAGCAAUAGACUGAAACGUGAGCAUAUGUAGACUAGCUCCUAAGCUGGACCGAAACAGCAAGGUGAGAGAAUCUUGAGUCCUGCCUUUUGGGUUUUAC